rnacentral:lncRNA from 1 species
GCACUCUCCCUCCAUACAGAGAGAGAGAUUAAACUUUUGAAAGCAUUGGUUCGGGAAACCAAAAUAAAGCUUCUUUUUGCACCUUGCACUGCUUGCGACCUUUAUUGCAGCAUUUAAAAAUCCUGAAGACACCUAAGCACUUUUUAUGACGUAGUGAUUGCCAAAGCACUAGUGGCCAAUUGCCGGACGUGUUGUUGUUGUUGUGAAACACUUAUUUGAGCGGAUAAAAACAAAAUAAAAUAAAGGUGGGUGGCCUCUUCUUAGUUCAGAAAGCUGCGAGGGACCGCUGCUGCUCUAGCCUGGGAGAUCAUCCCGAGUCUCGAGCUGAGAGCUGGUCAGCCCGCACUCCCACUGCUCCAGUGUGGGGUCAUUUCAUUAUUAUCGUUAUCCUUUUUCAUUGCAUCUUUUCUUCGCUCAGUUGCUAUGACUCGCCACAUAACCCGUGUUUGCAUCGCCAAGCAAAGAUGGCAUUUGGGGAAAACGUACUUUGCUACUCCCUUAAUUGCUACUUCUGUAAUAUCAUGCUCAAAUUAGUCAUGUAGGCCUGAGUACAUGCAUGUUUUCUUGAAGUCGAAGGCCAUAACG